AAAACCAUUCUCAUGAGCUAUAAAUUGGCCAAUUUGUUUGCACUUGUUUAGAGAUUGGUUUUGGAUUGCAUCUAAAACCAUUUCCAAAUGCACUAAAAUCGGCUGAUUUGUCUGGGGAUUUUUUGCUAAAAUCAGCGAAUUGGUUUGCAUUUCUCCAGGAUAGUUUUGGACAUAUUGGUCAAUUGAUUUGCAUUUUCUCGCAGGGUUGGUUUUGGACGCGUCCAAAACCAUUCUCAUGAGCUAUAUAUUAGCUAAUUUGUUUGCAUUUGUCUAAGCAUUGGUUUUGGAUGCAUCCAAAACCAUUUUCAUUAGCGCUAAAAUUGGUGAAUUGAUUUGCAUUUUCCUGCAGGGUUGGUUUUUAACGCAUCCAAAACCAUUCUGAUGAGCUAUACAUUGGCAAAUUUGUCUAGGGAUUGGUUUUGGACGCAUCUAAAACCAUUUUCAAAAGCACUAAAAUCGGCUGAUUUGUUUUCAUUUGUCUGGGG